rnacentral:rRNA from 1 species
UACGGGGGGGGCAAGCGUUGUUCGGAAUUACUGGGCGUAAAGGGCUCGUAGGCGGCCAACUAAGUCAGACGUGAAAUCCCUCGGCUUAACCGGGGAACUGCGUCUGAUACUGGAUGGCUUGAGGUUGGGAGAGGGAUGCGGAAUUCCAGGUGUAGCGGUGAAAUGCGUAGAUAUCUGGAGGAACACCGGUGGCGAAGGCGGGUCUCUGGACAGUUCCUGACGCUGAGGCACGAAGGUCAGGGGAGCAAACGGG